rnacentral:rRNA from 1 species
AAUAGAUACCCGGGUAGUCCACGCCGUAAACGAUGGAUACUAGCUGUUUGUUCGCAAGGAUGAGUGGCUAAGCGAAAGUGAUAAGUAUCCCACCUGGGGAGUACGAACGCAAGUUUGAAACUCAAAGGAAUUGACGGGGGCCCGCACAAGCGGUGGAGCAUGUGGUUUAAUUCGAUGAUACGCGAGGAACCUUACCAGGGCUUAAAUGUAGUUUGACGUUAUUGGAAACAGUAAUUUCUUCGGACAAAUUACAAGGUGCUGCAUGGUUGUCGUCAGCUCGUGCCGUGAGGUGUCAGGUUAAGUCCUAUAACGAGCGCAACCCCUGUUGUUAGUUGCCAGCGAGUCAUGUCGGGAACUCUAACAAGACUGCCAGUGUAAACUGCGAGGAAGGUGGGGAUGACGUCAAAUCAUCACGGCCCUUACGUCCUGGGCCACACACGUGCUACAAUGGACGGUACAGAGAGCAGCCACUUAGCAAUAAGGAGCGAAUCUAUAAAACCGUUCUCAGUUCGGAUCGGAGUCUGCAACUCGACUCCGU